UUUAGCUUACCUUUUAUUAUUUUCUUUCCAACAAUCAGUGUGUGCGUCAAAGGAAACCUGCAAAAACAUGGCAAUGUAAAGAUCGGGGUGUAAACGAUGCAGAAGGGCAAUGCCCAAAAUCCAAUGAAAGAGUAUCGAUCAAAGUUGAUUUGACGUUUAUUGCAUCGCCUCAAGAUGGAGAUUUCACACAAAACCUCAUUGGCGGCACAGAGCGGUUACUCCAAACACUACCUGACUAUGUUGUGGAGAUCCGAACACCUGAAUGGCUCAAAGAAGAUGACUCGACGAAUAAGAUACGAAUUGACGCAUAUUUGACCCAAGAGAGAAAUAAAACUGAAUUUGAAGAAAUGAUGAAAUGUGACCAAGCAUCUGUUUGCAUUUUGUUUCUUCCUGAGAACAGGUCACUCCCAAAUAUGUCCUUGGAUCGGAAACACAUCGCCAUCAAUUUUAGAAAGUAUCCCAACAUUGUAAAAUGUUCUUUCUAUGACGAUUCUCAGAAAAACACCUGGAACAAUUUAUUAAAGAAUUGUACGAAAAAUAAACAAGGUUCUGAAAGGGAGGAUAACAACAAUGGUUCUUCAGUUGAUGCCAAAACUAAAUAACACUUCAUCAAACAACUUUUUUGUCCUUCAAUGACUCAUCAGUGAUGCCAGGGACCAUAAAGGAGAAAACCCAUAAUGCUAAAUAUUACUGUUGAAACUGAAGGGAAAGUGCCUAACCCCCGUUAGUCACGAAUUUCAAAAUAAUGACGUUGCGUAUAUUUUUGUUUGAUUGGAACAGUACAUAUGCUUCAUGCUUCAUGCUUCAUGCUUAUUUCGGUACACUUACUUUAUUUGCAUCAGAAAUAGAAAUAAAGUAAGAAAAUUGACGAAUGCAUAAAUCGUAACAAAUCAAACAGUUGCUUAAUUUAAACCUUUUCUCAUUUUUUUACUCUGGACAAUUAUCUGACCCGAGCAAGGCUACUGGAGUUGUCUAUGUAUAUACAUAAUAUACGAAACUACGAAACGAGUGUUGUUUUGUUAUCUAACUUCGUACAGAUGGGUUUAACAGUGUCCUGUUGUAAGACCUAUCGAAUUAGUAAGCAAUAUUUGAAAACCCAAUCAUCUGAAAUAAGGUGCGUUAAAAUAGACCUGAAAAGUGAAAGCAAAAGCUAAAAACAGAGCACAUUCUAUGACAUACUAUUAUCACUAUGCAAUAUAAAUACAUACAACCCCGUGAUUUAAAUGACCUGUUAUGCAAGUAAUAAUAAAUUAUCUAUCCGAUUUAAGUGAUUUUUUGAUGUAAUUAAAAUUCUAUUUUUGAAACCCUAAUUAAAGGAUGGGUGCCAAUUUUGGCCUUCUGGUGGCUAUAUACAUAGCUUGGGGUUAUGCCAUCAUGAUAAGCCAUGAAAUUAAGGUCAGCUUCGGGACCAUUCCGAGAUAUGAGAGGGUAAAAGUGAUGGACCAAAAUCACAAUAACUGCAUGUUAUGUUUUGAAAAUUUCUGCAUAAGUUUGAUGUAUUGUGUACCACUAAAGCUGCAAAUAAUAAAAAUGGCAGAGAAAGGUAACACAUAGUUGUUAAGUAGAACACUGUGACCUUGUUUUAUAAUGGCUUAAUAAUGUUAACAAUUCUUCCUUUUCUGUGCCUAAAUCAAUAUUAGAACCCUACAAUUAUCUUACUAAAGUUGUAUUAACCAAAUCCCCCCUUCUUUUAACAGUUUUAUCACAAAAUCCACACAACAACUGAACAGUUAUCUUUAAUUUUAACAUGUAUCCGACUUUAAGAUAUUUUAAAAAUUUUAUAUAUUUUUUUAUUUUUU
rnacentral:lncRNA from 1 species